AUACGUAGGGGGCGAGCGUUGUCCGGAAUGAUUGGGCGUAAAGGGCGCGUAGGCGGCCCGGUAAGUCUGGAGUGAAAGUCCUGUUUUUAAGAUGGGAAUUGCUUUGGAUACUGUCGGGCUUGAGUGCAGGAGAGGUAAGUGGAAUUCCCAGUGUAGCGGUGAAAUGCGUAGAGAUUGGGAGGAACACCAGUGGCGAAGGCGACUUACUGGGCAGUAACUGACGCUGAGGAGCGAAAGCUAGGGGCGCGAACAGGAUUAGAUACCCUGGUAGUCCACGCGGUAAACGAUGAAUGCUAGGUGUUGCGGGUAUCGACCCCUGCAGUGCCGGAGUAAACACAAUAAGCAUUCCGCCUGGGGAGUACGGCCGCAAGGUUGAAACUCAAAUGAAUUGACGGGG
rnacentral:rRNA from 1 species